rnacentral:rRNA from 1 species
AUACGUAGGGGGCGAGCGUUGUCCGGAAUUAUUGGGCGUAAAGGGUUCGCAGGCGGUCUGAUAAGUCAGAUGUGAAAGGCAAUGGCUCAACCAUUGUAAGCAUUUGAAACUGUCAGACUUGAGUUAAGGAGAGGAAAGUGGAAUUCCUAGUGUAGCGGUGAAAUGCGUAGAUAUUAGGAGGAAUACCAGUGGCGAAGGCGACUUUCUGGACUUAUACUGACGCUGAGGAACGAAAGCGUGGGGAGCAAACAGGAUUAGAUACCCUGGUAGUCCACGCCGUAAACGAUGAGUGCUAGGUGUUGGGGGUCAAACCUCGGUGCCGCAGCUAACGCAUUAAGCACUCCGCCUGGGGAGUACGUACGCAAGAAUGAAACUCAAAGGAAUUGACGGGG